rnacentral:rRNA from 1 species
AUUGAACGCUGGCGGCAUGCCUUACACAAGCAAGUCGAACGGUAACAGGUCUUCGGAUGCUGACGAGUGGCGAACGGGUGAGUAAUGCGUCGGAACGUGCCGAGUAGUGGGGGAUAACGCAGCGAAAGUUGUGCUAAUACCGCAUACGUACUGAGGUAGAAAGUGGGGGACCUUCGGGCCUCACGCUAUUCGAGCGGCCGACGUCUGAUUAGCUAGUAGGUGAGGUAAAGGCUCACCUAGGCGACGAUCAGUAGCGGGUCUGAGAGGAUGAUCCGCCACACUGGGACUGAGACACGGCCCAGACUCCUACGGGAGGCAGCAGUGGGGAAUUUUGGACAAUGGGCGAAAGCCUGAUCCAGCCAUGCCGCGUGUCUGAAGAAGGCCUUCGGGUUGUAAAGGACUUUUGUCAGGGAGGAAAUCCCUAGUGCUAAUACCGCUGGGGGAUGACAGUACCUGAAGAAUAAGCACCGGCUAACUACGUGCCAGCAGCCGCGGUAACAC